CUACGUGCCAGCAGCCGCGGUAAUACGGAGGGUGCGAGCGUUAAUCGGAAUAACUGGGCGUAAAGGGCACGCAGGCGGUUAUUUAAGUGAGGUGUGAAAGCCCCGGGCUUAACCUGGGAAUUGCAUUUCAGACUGGGUAACUAGAGUACUUUAGGGAGGGGUAGAAUUCCACGUGUAGCGGUGAAAUGCGUAGAGAUGUGGAGGAAUACCGAAGGCGAAGGCAGCCCCUUGGGAAUGUACUGACGCUCAUGUGCGAAAGCGUGGGGAGCAAACAGGAUUAGAUACCCUGGUAGUCCACGCUGUAAACGCUGUCGAUUUGGGGAUUGGGCUUAAAGCUUGGUGCCCGUAGCUAACGUGAUAAAUCGACCGCCUGGGGAGUACGGCCGCAAGGUUAAAACUCAAAGGAAUUGACGGGGACCCGCACAAGCGGUGGAUGAUGUGGAUUAAUUCGAUGCAACGCGAAAAACCUUACCUACGCUUGACAU
rnacentral:rRNA from 1 species